GCUUAACACAUGCAAGUCGAACGAUGAAGCCCAGCUUGCUGGGUGGAUUAGUGGCGAACGGGUGAGUAACACGUGAGUAACCUGCCCUUGACUCUGGAAUAAGCGUUGGAAACGACGUCUAAUACCGGAUACGAGCUUCCACCGCAUGGUGAGUUGCUGGAAAGAAUUUUGGUCAAGGAUGGACUCGCGGCCUAUCAGCUUGUUGGUGAGGUAAUGGCUCACCAAGGCGACGACGGGUAGCCGGCCUGAGAGGGUGACCGGCCACACUGGAACUGAGACACGGCCCAGACUCCUACGGGAGGCAGCAGUGGGGAAUAUUGCACAAUGGGCGAAAGCCUGAUGCAGCAACGCCGCGUGAGGGACGACGGCCUUCGGGUUGUAAACCUCUUUUAGCAGGGAAGAAGCGAAAGUGACGGUACCUGCAGAAAAAGCACCGGCUAACUACGUGCCAGCAGCCGCGGUAAUACGUAGGGUGCAAGCGUUGUCCGGAAUUAUUGGGCGUAAAGAGCUCGUAGGCGGUUUGUCGCGUCUGCUGUGAAAUCCCGAGGCUCAACCUCGGGUCUGCAGUGGGUACGGGCAGACUAGAGUGCGGUAGGGGAGAUUGGAAUUCCUGGUGUAGCGGUGGAAUGCGCAGAUAUCAGGAGGAACACCGAUGGCGAAGGCAGAUCUCUGGGCCGCUACUGACGCUGAGGAGCGAAAGGGUGGGGAGCAAACAGGCUUAGAUACCCUGGUAGUCCACCCCGUAAACGUUGGGCGCUAGAUGUGGGGACCAUUCCACGGUUUCCGUGUCGUAGCUAACGCAUUAAGCGCCCCGCCUGGGGAGUACGGCCGCAAGGCUAAAACUCAAAGGAAUUGACGGGGGCCCGCACAAGCGGCGGAGCAUGCGGAUUAAUUCGAUGCAACGCGAAGAACCUUACCAAGGCUUGACAUAUACGAGAACGGGCCAGAAAUGGUCAACUCUUUGGACACUCGUAAACAGGUGGUGCAUGGUUGUCGUCAGCUCGUGUCGUGAGAUGUUGGGUUAAGUCCCGCAACGAGCGCAACCCUCGUUCUAUGUUGCCAGCACGUAAUGGUGGGAACUCAUGGGAUACUGCCGGGGUCAACUCGGAGGAAGGUGGGGACGACGUCAAAUCAUCAUGCCCCUUAUUUCUUGGGCUUCACGCAUGCUACAAUGGCCAGUACAAAGGGCUGCAAUACCGUAAGGUGGAGCGAAUCCCAAAAAGCUGGUCCCAGUUCGGAUUGAGGUCUGCAACUCGACCUCAUGAAGUCGGAGUCGCUAGUAAUCGCAGAUCAGCAACGCUGCGGUGAAUACGUUCCCGGGCCUUGUACACACCGCCCGUCAAGUCAUGAAAGUCGGUAACACCCGAAGCCAGUGGCCUAACCGCAAGGAUGGAGCUGUCUAAGGUGGGAUCGGUAAUUAGGACU
rnacentral:rRNA from 1 species